GACGAACGCUGGCGGCGUGCCUAAUACAUGCAAGUCGAGCGCAGGAAAUCGACGGAACCCUUCGGGGGGAAGUCGACGGAAUGAGCGGCGGACGGGUGAGUAACACGUAAAGAACCUGCCCUCAGGUCUGGGAUAACCACGAGAAAUCGGGGCUAAUACCGGAGGGGUCAUCGGACCGCAUGGUCCGAGGAUGAAAGGCGCUCCGGCGCUGCCUGGGGAAGGCUUUGCGGUGCAUUAGCUAGUUGGUGGGGUAAUGGCCCACCAAGGCGACGAUGCAUAGCCGACCUGAGAGGGUGAUCGGCCACACUGGGACUGAGACACGGCCCAGACUCCUACGGGAGGCAGCAGUAGGGAAUCUUCCACAAUGGACGAAAGUCUGAUGGAGCAACGCCGCGUGAACGAUGAAGGCCUUCGGGUCGUAAAGUUCUGUUGUAAGGGAAGAACAAGUGCCGCAGGCAAUGGCGGCACCUUGACGGUACCUUGCGAGAAAGCCACGGCUAACUACGUGCCAGCCGCCGCGGUAAAAC
rnacentral:rRNA from 1 species